CGUUCGACCUCUGUUGACGGAGCGGCGGCGGGUGAGUAAUGCUUGGGAAUAUGCCUUAUGGUGGGGGACAACAGUUGGAAACGACUGCUAAUACCGCAUGAUGUCUACGGACCAAAGUGGGGGACCUUCGGGCCUCACGCCAUAAGAUUAGCCCAAGUGGGAUUAGCUAGUUGGUGAGGUAAUGGCUCACCAAGGCGACGAUCCCUAGCUGGUUUGAGAGGAUGAUCAGCCACACUGGGACUGAGACACGGCCCAGACUCCUACGGGAGGCAGCAGUGGGGAAUAUUGCACAAUGGGCGCAAGCCUGAUGCAGCCAUGCCGCGUGUGUGAAGAAGGCCUUCGGGUUGUAAAGCACUUUCAGUAAGGAGGAAAGGUUAAGUGUUAAUAGCACUUAGCUGUGACGUUACUUACAGAAGAAGCACCGGCUAACUCCGUGCCAGCAGCCACGGUAAUACGGAGGGUGCGAGCGUUAAUCGGAAUUACUGGGCGUAAAGCGUACGCAGGCGGUUUGUUAAGCGAGAUGUGAAAGCCCCGGGCUCAACCUGGGAACUGCAUUUCGAACUGGCAAACUAGAGUGUGAUAGAGGGUGGUAGAAUUUCAGGUGUAGCGGUGAAAUGCGUAGAGAUCUGAAGGAAUACCGAUGGCGAAGGCAGCCACCUGGGUCAACACUGACGCUCAUGUACGAAAGCGUGGCGAGCAAACAGGAUUAGAUACCCUGGUAGUCCACGCCGUAAACGAUGUCUACUACAAGCUCGGGUCUUCGGACUGUUUUCAAAGCUACGCAUUAAGUAGACCGCCUGGGAGUACGCCGCAAGGUUAAAACUCAAUGAUUUGGAGCGGGUA
rnacentral:rRNA from 1 species